GGCACAAUGAUUGGCGAGAAUUGGAGAAUAUUUGAAAAGUGACGGAUAGUUAGGCUACAUGGUAAGUUAAUUUGCCUACAGACUAAACUAGAAAUCGAGUCAAACGUUAAAAACUGGUUAACUGCUGGUUAAGUCAUGAACCCUUGUGGUGUCAUUAAAACCGACCAAACACAGAAAACGCUAUGACAACAAUUUACUGUAACUUUUGGCCCAUAUCCACCAUACUAACAGAAGAGACGGAUCACACCUGAAGAUGUUUCCAGAGGACACAGGGUUUUCAGUAUGAAACCGAACCCUGGGAGCGCUUCGACCUGAGCUUCAGAGAGCAUGAGACUGAUGUGCUUUUGAAGAUGAUGACAGAUACAGGGCCUUGAUUUCAUUUGAUUAACUGGAGCAA
ensembl:lncRNA